ACGAACGCUGGCGGCAGGCCUAACACAUGCAAGUCGAGCGCCCCGCAAGGGGAGCGGCGGACGGGUGAGUAACGCGUGGGAACGUGCCCCUUUCUACGGAAUAGCCUCGGGAAACUGGGAGUAAUACCGUAUAAGCCCUACGGGGGAAAGAUUUAUCGGGAAGGGAUCGGCCCGCGUUGGAUUAGGUAGUUGGUGGGGUAAUGGCCUACCAAGCCGACGAUCCAUAGCUGGUUUGAGAGGAUGAUCAGCCACACUGGGACUGAGACACGGCCCAGACUCCUACGGGAGGCAGCAGUGGGGAAUCUUAGACAAUGGGCGCAAGCCUGAUCUAGCCAUGCCGCGUGAGCGAUGAAGGCCUUAGGGUUGUAAAGCUCUUUCAGUGGGGAAGAUAAUGACUGUACCCACAGAAGAAGCCCCGGCUAACUCCGU
rnacentral:rRNA from 1 species